rnacentral:rRNA from 1 species
CCUACGGGAGGCAGCAGUGAGGAAUCUUGGUCAAUGGGCGGGAGCCUGAACCAGCCAAGCCGCGUGAGGGAAGACGGUCCUAUGGAUUGUAAACUUCUUUAGGCGGGGAGCAAUGCCGGGCACGCGUGCCCGGAGGGAGAGUACCCGCAGUAUCAGCAUCGGCUAACUCCGUGCCAGCAGCCGCGGUACUGCGGAGGAUGCGAGCGUUAUCCGGAUUUAUUGGGUUUAUAGGGUGCGUAGGCUGAUUUUUUAGUCAGAGGUAAAAUGUCGGGGCUCAAUCCGGGCCGGCCGUUGAAACUGGGGAUCUUGAGUGGGCGAGAGGAGUGCGGAAGUCGUGGUGUAGCGGUGAAAUGCAUAGAUAUCAGGCAGAACACCGAUUGCGAAGGCAGCAUACCGGCGCCCGACUGACGCUGAGGCACGAAAGCGUGGGGAUCGAACAGGAUUAGAUACCCUAGUAGUC